CAGUUGGGCGCAAACCACGCCCCCUACGCGAAUUCAUUGGUCAACCCUGUUACGUCACCUGAGAAGAUGUUUGGACAAGGUCGUUGAUGGAUCCGUCGCUGACAAACGGAGAGUACGCAUGUUUAGGCUGUGGAGAAGACCAAGCCGUAACGUUACAUCUGAAGUUGGGCGCAAACCACGCCCCCUACGCGAA